UACGUAGGGGGCAAGCGUUGUCCGGAUUUAUUGGGCGUAAAGAGCGUGUAGGCGGUUCGGUAGGUCCGUUGUGAAAACUCGAGGCUCAACCUCGAGACGCCGAUGGAAACCAUCAGACUAGAGUCCGGAAGAGGAGAGUGGAAUUCCUGGUGUAGCGGUGAAAUGCGCAGAUAUCAGGAAGAACACCCGUGGCUAAGGCGGCUCUCUAGUACGGUACUGACGCUGAGACGCGAAAGCGUGGGGAGCGAACAGG
rnacentral:rRNA from 1 species